CACGUAGGGUGCGAGCGUUGUCCGGAAUUAUUGGGCGUAAAGAGCUCGUAGGCGGUGUGUCGCGUCGGCCGUGAAAACCUGCAGCUUAACUGUGGGCUUGCGGUCGAUACGGGCAUCACUGGAGUUCGGCAGGGGAGACUGGAAUUCCUGGUGUAGCGGUGAAAUGCGCAGAUAUCAGGAGGAACACCGAUUGCGAAGGCAGCUCGCUGGAACGUUACUGACGCUGGAGACGCGAAGGCGUGGGGAGCAAACAGG
rnacentral:rRNA from 1 species